UACGGGGGGAGCAAGCGUUGUUCGGAUUUACUGGGCGUAAAGGGCGCGUAGGCGGUUUUCUAAGUUUGGUGUGAAAUCUCCCGGCUUAACUGGGAGGGUGCGCCGAAAACUGGAAGGCUUGAGUAUGGGAGAGGUAAGCGGAAUUCCUGGUGUAGCGGUGAAAUGCGUAGAUAUCAGGAGGAACACCUGCGGUGUAGACGGCUUACUGGACCAUAACUGACGCUGAGGCACGAAAGCGUGGGUAGCAAACAGG
rnacentral:rRNA from 1 species